rnacentral:lncRNA from 1 species
CCGCAGAGGCGGGCGGUUGGUUCUUGUGGUGACGGAGGAGGAGCUCCUUCUGGCGGCGGAUCUCCAUGACCUUGCGAUGGGAGUUGGAGUGCUGGGUGAGCACGAAGGCUGGGCUGGCCGCCGGUCGGUACUCCGGGAGGAGCCGCCCGGACUUGUACCUCACCCCGCACGCGUUGCACAGCGUCUUCGGCCCCAGUGGCCCCGUCCGCCACUGCGGCGUCUUCUCCGAUGCGCAGUGCAUGCACCGCCGCACUCCGCCCUCCGCUCCGACGCCCCAUCCGCUUUUCUUUCCUCUACUACCGCCAUUACUGCCGCCGCCUCUGCUGCUAAUACACUUAAUACCGAUGGAAUCAGGUUGGGAAGGUGGGAAAUCAGAAGAGGACGAGGACGAGGACGACGGCGAGGACUGCGGUGGUGGCGUUAACGAGGACCAAACCGUGGUAGGAUUGCUGCUCCUGGACCGCUUGCUUCUCGCUGCGUAACGUGCAACGCAUUGGUCCACG